GACGAACGCUGGCGGCGUGCUUAACACAUGCAAGUCGAACGGAAAGGCCCUGCUUGCAGGGUACUCGAGUGGCGAACGGGUGAGUAACACGUGGGUGAUCUGCCCUGCACUUCGGGAUAAGCCUGGGAAACUGGGUCUAAUACCGGAUAGGAGCCAUUUUUAGUGUGAUGGUUGGAAAGUUUUUUCGGUGUAGGAUGAGCUCGCGGCCUAUCAGCUUGUUGGUGGGGUAAUGGCCUACCAAGGCGGCGACGGGUAGCCGGCCUGAGAGGGUGGACGGCCACAUUGGGACUGAGAUACGGCCCAGACUCCUACGGGAGGCAGCAGUGGGGAAUAUUGCACAAUGGGCGCAAGACUGAUGCAGCGACGCCGCGUGGGGGAUGACGGACUUCGGGUUGUAAACUCCUUUCGCUAGGGACGAAGCUUUUUGUGACGGUACCUAGAUAAGAAGCACCGGCUAACUACGUG
rnacentral:rRNA from 1 species